rnacentral:tRNA from 1 species
GCGUCGUGUACGUCAAUCGGCAGGUGGCGGUACUUCGUACGCACCGAUCAUCGUCGAGUUCGAGUCCAAGCGCGUUGCUCCA